CCCAUUCUCCGGAGUGGGCGCACAUUAAGGGGACCGCUGGCGCUAAGUCAGAGGAAGGAGAGGUCAACGGUAGGUCAGUAUGCCCCGAAUCUCCCGGGCUACACGCGCGCUACAAAGGACAGGACAAUGGGAUGCAAUACCGAGAGGUAACGCCAACCCGAACUGUUCGUAGUUCGGACUGAGGGCUGUAACUCGCCCUCACGAAGCUGGAUUCCGUAGUAAUCGCGGGUCAACAUCCCGCGGUGAAUAUGCCCCUGCUCUUU
rnacentral:rRNA from 1 species